rnacentral:rRNA from 1 species
UGGGGAAUAUUGCACAAUGGGCGCAAGCCUGAUGCAGCCAUGCCGCGUGUAUGAAGAAGGCCUUCGGGUUGUAAAGUACUUUCAGCGGGGAGGAAGGUGGUAAGGUUAAUAACCUUAUCAAUUGACGUUACCGACAGAAGAAGCACCGGCUAACUCCGUGCCAGCAGCCGCGGUAAUACGGAGGGUGCAAGCGUUAAUCGGAAUUACUGGGCGUAAAGCGCACGCAGGCGGUUGAUUGAGUCAGAUGUGAAAUCCCCGGGCUUAACCCGGGAAUUGCAUCUGAUACUGGUCAGCUAGAGUCUUGUAGAGGGGGGUAGAAUUCCAUGUGUAGCGAUGAAAUGCGUAGAGAUGUGGAGGAAUACCGGUGGCGAAGGCGGCCCCCUGGACAAAGACUGACGCUCAGGUGCGAAAGCGUGGGGAGCAAACAGG